GCCCCUAGCAAUACACAAGUAUUAAGGGUAAUGCCUGCCCAGUGACACUGUUAAACGGCCGCGGUAUCCUAACCGUGCAAAGGUAGCGUAAUCACUUGUCUUUUAAAUAAAGACUGGAAUGAAUGGCCAAACGAGGUUCAACCUGUCUCUUACAAACAAUCAGUGAAAUUGAUCCCCCCGUGCAAAAGCGGGAAUAACACUAUAAGACGAGAAGACCCUGUGGAACUUCAAAUACAAGUCAAUUAUCGUCAACACCCGCCCACGGACUCACACUCAACUAACCUCUGACUAAUAUUUUCGGUUGGGGCGACCUCGGAGCAAAACAAAACCUCCGAACAAAAGAACUAUCUUAAACCUAGGCCUACAGCCCAAAGUGCCUCCGGUAAAAUGAUCCAAUAUAUUUGAUCAACGAACCAAGCUACCCCAGGGAUAACAGCGCAAUCCCAUCCUAGAGUCCCCAUCGACGAUGGGGUUUACGACCUCGAUGUUGGAUCAGGGCAUCCUGAUGGUGCAACCGCUAUCAAGGGUUCGUUUGUUCAACGAUUAACAGCCCUACGUGA
rnacentral:rRNA from 1 species